rnacentral:misc_RNA from 1 species
UAUUGUACCCAUGCUUUAUGUCUGUACCAAAUCAAGGGUCCAAUACAACAUUUAGGAGUUCAAUCAAGAAUUGGAUAUACACUUGCAUAAUUGAACAUAAGCUGAACAAAGAUAAAAAUCCCAUAUAAGAUGCAAGCAGUAUUUUGGAGGGACAAUUGCCAACAAGUGGACCACUAUACAGUGAGAAGUGCAAAAUGUGAUGGAUGGUAGCUUUGUUUAAAUUGGGUCAAAAUAAGAAAUACUAGAUUAACUGGAGCACUGCUCUCUUCCUCGUAAUUAAAUGGACCCACUUGUGGAACAAAUAUGUAAGACCUGUAUGACUAUGAAAGGAAGAAGCAGAGCAUGGGGUGCACUGAAUAAUUUCUCAAUCAAAGGAUAACUUUUCACAUUCAAUAAUAUGUGGUUCUCAGUUAAAGAAUUGUCUUCAUGGGACACAUCACAUCAGUGUCAAAUACUUUAGUUUUUGCAAGUUAUUCAUUCAAACACCAGGUAAACAGUCACAUAGAAAUAUAAAUUUACUUGGUAAGAAAUGUUGAAAGGUACCUUUUAAGGAUGGCUUAUCAUAUU